CUACUGCUAGUACUUGUUCGUUGUUGCCGCCUAUCGUAAAUCAAUCAUAAAAUCAAAUGCGUGAAUAAUAGUUUUUAUUUAUUUAACUAAGCAAGUCAGUUAAGAACACAUUCUAAUUGACAUUGACGGCCUACCAAAAUGCCUCCUGCGGGGACGGGGGCUGGGAUUAAAAAUGUACAAUAAAAUAUAGGACAAAACACAUCACGACAAGAGAGACCUAAAAACAACAACAUAUCGUGACAGCAACACCACCAGCAGUGCCACUGUGACAACAAAUUUGGACCCCCUAAAUAUGGAUUAUGAAAUAAUUUUUACAUAACUAAUUUUUGCUAUCGUUAUUUUUUUAAAUCCGUUAUUAGAAAGUGGCAACGCGGAGCACUAAUUUAACCCACACAUUUUCUAGAGGGACGGCUUUAGGCGUAACAUAACAGUAUCGUACCACAUGCAACUGCAAGUUUUUCCUAUUCAGAAGUUGUAAGAAAUUCCACACGAAUAUUAUAGUUCAAGCACAAAGAACGAAAUAUAGAGAUAUCAGCAAAUCCCGAGAGGAACCACCGGUGCAGCCAAUGAUGAACAUUGGCUGCACCGAAGAACUCUGAUGGGGGACCGGAAGAGGAGCUUCAAGGCGGCCUGGUACCAUAUCCACCCCUGCCUUGAAUAUUCAAAAGAAUCCGGCUCUGUGUUUUGUUACGCCUGCAGGCAUUUUAGCCAUCCCAAAGUCUCACUGUAAUUGAUUCACAUUUGGGUUUUAACAACUGGAAGAAGGCAACUUACAAAGAGGGGGGAUUUGCAGUUCAUGUAAAGUCUGAGCAGCACAAACAAGCAAUGAUUACAUGGAGAGACUAUCAGAAAGCUGUACAAAGUAAUGCAACACUGGUAAAUGCCCUAAACAAGGAACACAACAAACCGGUUUAAGAAAAUAGGGACAAUAUUAAAACAAUAGAAGUACUACUACUUACAGCCACACAAAACAUUGCAGAAAGAGGACACGAUGAGUCUGCAGAGUCAGAUAAGAAAGGGAACUUCAUGGCAAUCCUAGAAACAAUAGCUAAGCAUGACGCAACUGUGAAAAAAAGGUUGACUUCCAUUCAUAAUGGAAAAUAUACAAGCAAAGGGAUUCAGAAUGAUGUUCUGAGGUGUUUGGCAGACAUGGUUUGAACAAAAAUUAUUGAAGUAAAAAACAGUGAUGCAUAAUGCAUAACAGCAUAAUGGAAGACAAAACAAAAGAUGUAAAAAAUAAAAAAUGUUUUAAAAAGGAGCAGUACUAUUUCAGAGGAGCUGUCCAUGAGAGCUUUCUCCGCUUUGAAUCUGCUGAUUGACUAGAUGCAGCAGGGCUUACUGACAGAAUCAUAAACAUAUUAGAAAGUCAUGGUCUUGAAUACAAAAACAACCUAGUAGGCCAAGCAUAUGACGGUGCUUCCGUUAUGAGUGGCAAGCAUUCAGGCGUCCAGGCACACAUUAAAGAACAAGCAAAGCCUUUUACAUCCGCUGCAGUGCACACUGUCUAAACUUAGUUUUAGUGGAUACAGUCAAAGUUGUCCCUGAGGUCGGACAGUUCUUCUCCUUACUAGAAAGACUUUACUUCUUCACAUCCGGGUCAUAUGUGCAUCAAAAAUGGCUUGCAUACAAAAAGAGAUGUACCCAGGUGCACCGAGAGAGGUUCAGAGACUAAUGUCGAUAUAUGGCUCUACAUACUAUUAUGGAUAGAUUACCUGCCAUUAAGCGAGUCCUGCAAGACAUAGUCCAAGAACACAAUGGUGACAGAUCUGUUGAGGCACGAGGUCUGCUUGCACAGAUAGAUUUACAAUUCAUUGUGUGCCUUGUUACACUGCAUAAAGUGUUUGGAGAAGCAACAUUUCUAUCAGAUAUGUUACAGUCUUCAUCACUUGACCUGUCAAAGGCUGUUGAUUUAGUUGAAGCCUUAGUUCAAACUUUGAAUGACUACAGGGAUGAGUCAUUUUUUGAUGACCUAUGGAAUGAAGUGUUGAACACAGCUGAGCAAUGUGAUACUGCAAUACACCCCCCUGCAAAACGACCAAAAAAGCUCUCAAUUUAAUGGAGACUCUGUACUCAGUACAGUGGGUCAGAUUCAGAACAAGAAAAGGGCAGUUUUCGUACAGCCCCUUUCUACCCUGUUUACUAUCAUAUGCUCAAUGAGCUUAACAGAAGGUUCCCUAACAAACACUGUGACAUUAUGAAUGGCAUCCAAACUCUAAACCCUACAAGUGAUGUGUUUUUCAAAGAGAAGUCCCUGCACUAAAUCUGAUGAAAACGUAUCUCAGGUCCACAAUGUCAGAUGACAGAUUAAGCAAUUUGGGUGUAUUGAGUCUUAGAGGACAAAGGCCUUGAGUCUAGAUGCAUUUGUUGAUCUUUUUGCAACAAAAAAACACAAAAACUGGAGAAUACAGUUGUGACCUGAUACUGAAUAUGUAAUGCAAAUGAAAAUUAUAAUGGAAAUGCAAAUAAAUUGUUGAAUGAUUA